GAUUUAUUUCCUUGCGCUUUUGUAGGUGGCGUUAUAUGCAAUGAUAAUAUAUUUACGCGGGCUUGUCAUCAUUGUCAGUUUGUUUAGCUCGAUAUACGAGUCAACGAAGUUCGAUUUGAUAAUCGUGUUUCGACCAGCAAAAUUAUAUAUGUAUCUGACGUUAGUUUUUGAUAUGUUGUUCUACCAUGUUAAAAGAGAAUCGUUACAGUUAAUUAGUACAAAGUGUAAAAAACUUGAUUUUUCAAUAUUUCAAGUUGGAAACUUUUGUACAAAAGUCUUGUAAAUAAAGUCUGAUCAAAGAAAGAUUAUUAUUUUUGAUUCGUAGUCCUUGCAAGGGCACGUAAAACCUAUUGGUUUAGACGCAUUGAGAGUGUUGAAAAAAUUGGACGUACAAGAGAUACAAUGUCUGGUUGUAAACGUGUGUCUGUAUUAUCGUGCAUUACUGAAAUAGACGAAUGUUCACCGGACAAACGUCAAGAGCAAACAGCAACACUCGUGUCACCGAUUUCCGGAAUUAUUUGUAGCUUGAUGAACUCCGCGCUCUCACCGCGCAAUUAUUCGAAUCGCAAGAACAAUGUAAUCGAUGAGAAUGUAGUAGAUUCGAAUCACCAUGAACAAUCCAGUAAUAGCAACAACAAACGCCUCUUCAAGGAUGUAUUUAACAUUAGAGAUACCUCGAAUGGCACAGUGAAACCUAAACCAAAAGUCCGCCGGCUAAUUGGCAUGGCUACGCGACGUCUUUCCAGUCCAGAGCCAGUCUCGCCAUCUAUCGACAAAGAAAAUAACAGCCCGCAUGGUACUAGCCCGCAAAAGAUCGUCGGUACAAAAAGGAUCCGUCAUCCUCUAGAAGAUUGCGAUCCGAAUAGCCAAGACAGCGGAUAUGGGGCGAGCUUCAUUGAGAGAGAGGAAAAAUCGAGGCGAGAUAGAUUUCGAUUUGCGGAGCCCUUGGCCGUUGCUCCACGUCGAAUGUCUGUCGAAUCUCGGAGUCCGAUGGAGUCGCCGGUACGAUCAUCGCCACACCGAGCGCGAAUCGCGCGAUGUUCCCUCUUUCGAAGCACUUCGUCCGGUUACGAGAGUAUGGACGAUGGGUUCAACGAUCUGGUAGAUACCGAGAAUUUGGACGAUGCGACGCAAUUACCGAAUGGUAUAUCCACUUUACUCUGCGGCAGUAUCGUCGGUGCCGAGAUCGCGAAUACAUCAACGAAUCCUGACUCAAGUAAUCAGAGCACGCCCGAGUAUUCGCGUACCUACCGCGGUACAAGCGGAACCUUCAGACGCUCAUUGUCAUUGCAAUAUGAAAAGGAAAAUCAAAAGAUCUCGUCGCUUUCGAAAGUACGUUCCUGCUUGUUUCGUUCUCCGAAUGCGAACUCAUCGACUAAGACUGUAGAUUUCGACGAUGGUAGCCCACUAGCGACGACUAUACCCGUUGCACGACGUCGACGAAUCGCUGAAAUUGCCGACGAGAAUACCGACGCAGAUACUUUCAAUUUGCCGUUUGCUCGAGCUUCGAAACGGCCUGAACCACUGAUAAACGAGAGCCCGAGACUAGUCAAGAAAUCACGAAGAUCCAACAAUUUCUUUGAAGUCGUCAAAGAUUGUAGCAGUGGUGAAGCCAUGAUGUUCGAGAUGCCAAAGUGUAGGACGUUACAGAAAAGCUUUUCUACAUCAGGAAUAGAGACGGCAGCUGUAAUAGAAACGAUAUCGACGAAAAUGGAAAUGGAGAUGAAAAUGGAAACGGACGUAGAAAUGGAGACAGAAACGGAAACUGGCACAGAGAUAGAAGUGUCCUCAGAAUUGGAAGCACACGCGCACAUCAAAUCAGCUAUUCAUCGCAGCGUCACCGAUACCGAUCUCACAGGAGAUUUCAGCAAACCAUGCGUCCUGCCAUUAGCUGUUGGUCAUCACGAAGACUUAAAAUCAAUUUCAGUCGAUACCUUAGCCGCUUUAAUACGUGGAGAAUUUAACGAUAGAAUUAAUUCGUUCGAAAUCGUAGAUUGCCGUUAUCCGUACGAGUUCGAUGCUGGUCACAUUCAAGGUGCUCUAAAUCUUUACAGUAAAGAUCUCAUCGAGCAAUCCCUAUUAGAUCCACUGAAAAAUACGCCUGAAAUUGAACCAGAUACGAGUAAAAGAAAUAUUCUAGUGUUUCAUUGUGAAUUUUCGUGGGAACGAGGUCCAAAUCUCUCACGAUUUCUACGAAGUUUGGAUCGUCAACGUAACAAGGAACAUUAUCCCGCCCUCUAUUAUCCGGAAGUUUAUUUGCUGCACGGUGGAUAUGAGCAAUUCUACAGGGAACAGAAGGAAUUGUGUUCGCCACAGGGUUAUCGACCGAUGAGCCAUCCUGAUCAUCAAGCCGAUCUCAGACAAUUCCGAAGCAAAAGUAAAAGCUGGCAAGGUGAAAGAUUAAGAUUUAGUGGUUGUGCAACUCGUAGUAAUCUGAAACGUCUAGGUUUUUAGAUAAGUCUCCAUUUUCCUCAUUAUCGUUUCUGUCACUUACCUGAUCUCCUCUUUUUUACCUCUCUCCUCUUUUCACUUUUCUUAUCUUUCCUCAUUCCUCUUAUCUCUAUUCUGUUUUCCUAUAAUUAGCAAUUAACACGCUCGAGAUAAAUUUGCAGAAAAUUGUAUAAAGGUGCAAAUUUAAAAGUUAAAAUAAUGACAAAGUGGAAUAGGAAAAAGGAAAACGUUUUCCUUUUUGCGCGCGAAAUUUGUACGAUCGUUCCUACAUAUUAAUGUAAAUAAUAGUAAUUUCUUUAAUUUGCGAAUACGCUUAAUCUUUUAGUUGAUCAGUUGUAAAGAAAUGAUAUAAAGAGCAUGUACACGUGUAUGAUAAAGGACAACGACAGCAAAAAUAUCAAGUUAGUGCGAAAAAGGUCACAUUACCAAAACAGUAUUAAUACGAAAAUUGAAGUAAAACAAUCGUAGAACAAAAUUGUAUCGUAAUACUCUCGGAUAGGAUUCUCAUCCAUACCCAUUCGAUAUAGUAUUUUCAUCAGAUUCGCACGACCUUGAAAUGUUUUCGCAUAAAAACUGAUUGCAAACAUCGUCGUUGUUUUCUGAUAUUCUUGUUCGCCAAAGUUUAACGCGUAUGUGUACACCGGUGUAAAGAAAUUAUUGAUUAAAGAAGGGUGUAGAGCAAUUGUUUAUGAUGAAAUGAAUAUAUCUUUAAAUGUGCAAGCUUGUACGAAUGUUGUAUAUGGAUAGUUUAUGUUGUAUGACAUGGCGUGUAUUACAGCGAUGUUCACCAAAAUGAUUUCGUGCUCGUGAUUGGCCAGCGCUACAGGCUUCUGCAAUGUACUACAUAUAUAAUGUGUAUGCUGAUCUAUAUACAGCAAACGUUCGCAAAAGGAGGGGACGAUAAGGACAAGAAUCG